GAGAUACCCAGCAAGGGUGCAGUGUGAGCAGGUCCCUCGUGCAGGGCGGAGCGCUUCCCAAAACAUUCCAGGCCAUCACCAAGUACAGUACACCACUUAACAAACAUUAUGCAGGACACUGGAUGAUGCAACAGCCAAUCACCGGAGACAAGAUCGGCAGCGAGAGCAGUGCAAUGUUGCAAGGACCUAGAACGAGAACAGUGCAGUAUUACCAAGACCUGCAAUGUUGCAAAGGUCUACAGUGACGAUAUGUGCAGUGUUGCCAAGACCAUAGUGAGGGCUGGGCGAGAGGAUGACAGGGAAGACAGAGUAGUUGGGGGGGGGGGGGGGUCGGAAGAGAGUGGGACCAGAGUUGGGAAUGGUCUCACAACCGUUUGGUCCCGGGUUCGACUCCUGCGCUAGCGAUGCCCGUGUUUCUGGGUCGCAUUUUAAGAGAUGGUCAGUCGUUGGCUAGCGGGGGGGGGGGAAGGGACAUCAAUAAGCUUAAGAAACGAACGCUCAAAAUUAAUGUGAACCAAUGGGAUGUCAGGAGACACUUAAGUGCCUGGAUGGGAAUACACACGGACGAGUAACGCUUGAGAAAUCGGGCCCAGGAGACGGAACUCAACCUCCAAACGCACAGGACUGCACAAAUAGAAGAGUUUACGUGAAAUUUUGCAUUGUUGUUGUUAAAGAUUCGCUACCUGGAAUAAAAAGUUCCAGGUAACACGGGAUAUCUCCUGCUGCUAAAGAUUUAGUCCCCUGCAGACAGCGAGUCACAAAAGCCCCGCGGAAUAAGGACACUCAAGCACCACAUCUGAAAACAGAGGUGAGGAGGUUUGGGUCCGUCAUCACCAACUAUCACGUUGCUGCAACGUUCGAACGAGUUAAUGUAACCCCUCCUAAAGAGUUGUUAUGAGGGGGUUACAACUUGUUAAAACGGAUUGUAGCUCGUUAGAAGGGGUUACAACUCGUAACCCCCUCCUAACAAGUUGCAAUCCCUCCUAACGAGUUGUAACAACUUUUCUAACACGUCACUGUAACAUAAUAACAAGAUGUAACAACUUUGUAACCAGUUGUAACAAGGUAACAACAGGGACCGUUACGUUGUGUAUUUGCAGGGGUUGAUAAAGGCCCGAGACGGACCCCAAACGUCAAUUUCUGUAUUUCAGACGAUGUAUUUCAGACUCCCUGUGGGCAGGGGAGUCUAUUUCCGUGGAUAGGCAGCCUGUAUGUAGGCCUGGCGUGGUCCCUACUAGGCCUUGGUUAACUACUGAGCCUCCCCCAAGAUGCAACACACGGCUAUGGCCUAUAACUCCAAUGUAACUAUUGGCGAACAGGUACACCAGGAGAAAGGAAACCGGGUCAUCCAAGUCUGUCCCGCUCGAGGUCCGAACCCGGGAUUUCUGAUUUCGAGUCGGGGACGUAGACCAUUGUACUACCGUACUGUGCAGCCUUGGGAGGACUUAAUUAAUUACAACCUAGUUAUUAUCUGUAAGAGAACACUGCAGGUAAACAAACUCUGCAGAUCUACAAAGUGCCGGUAAACUAACACUGCAGAUCAACAAAGUGCCGGUAAACUAACACUGCAGAUCUACAAAGUGCCAGUAAACUAACACUGCAGAUCAACAAAGUGCCGGUAAACUAACACUGCAGAUCUACAAAGUGCCGGUAAACUAACACUGCAGAUCAACAAAGUGCCAGUAAACUAACACUGCAGAUCAACAAAGUGCCGGUAAACUAACACUGCAGAUCUACAAAGUGCCAGUAAACUAACACUGCAGAUCAACAAAGUGCCGGUAAACUAACACUGCAGAUCUACAAAGUGCCGGUAAACUAACACUGCAGAUCAACAAAGUGACGGUAAACUAACUCUGCAGAUCAACAAAUACUGCAGGUAAACAAACAGUGUAUUUAAACACAACACAUGCGAGGACACGCAACACAGACCCUACAAGCGAUAUUCAACACCAGUUCAUCACAACAAAAACAUAAUUCUACACUUUCCUAUCAGUUCAAAUAAAAAGAUAAAACCCCCCAGUCUUCGGUGACAAGUUAAAAAGAAUGCCGGGGUUCCCAGCACCAUAAAGGAGGUCUUGUAAUGUGUGUGUGUGUGCAGCGGUGAGAGAAGGAAAGGUGUUUUUUAUAAGUGCAGCCCGCCACCGCCAUUCAUCAGUCCGCCUGCGGGAUGCCCUCCGGCACUCUUAGAAAACGAGGCGCCCUCAGGGCAGGCUUAGGUAGAGUAAGGUUGUUUUUCAUGCCUCGAUCCCGCCUCAUUGACCGUGUGUGUGUGUGUGGUGCAUUGAAGGAAAACCUCUUGCGGGAUAUUCAGAAGGUAUGACUGGCUCUCUUUGUCAUUUUAAAUAUAUCUUCUUAUAAAUCACAUCAUACAAAACUCUACAACAAUUCCAAUAACCGAAAAUGAAGUAAAUAUGUCAUAAAGAACUUCCAACUAGAUUAAAAAUAAAAUAAAAUUAGUA
rnacentral:lncRNA from 1 species